ACUUUAGUGAUAUGUGAACUUGAGGCUAAGAUCAUGAGGAACAUGAUAGAUAUAAAAGAAAGGAUUCAAUAAUUUGAUUUCGAAUCAAUAGGUAUUAUGAUAAAAUUUAUGCAUAAGUGGCAUAUGAUGUCUAUAAUAGAAUUGAUGAGUUAUAUCAUAGAUUUCAAUUAGCAAGGUUGAUCUGAGUACGAGAAGUGCUGACCCUAGAAUGAAGUGGGAGGUAUUGAUAUGUUAUGUUGGAUAUAUUCGAUGACAUUGGAAUGCUAAACCUAUAUGGAUAAAGG
rnacentral:lncRNA from 1 species